UACGGGGGGGCAAGCGUUGUUCGGAAUUACUGGGCGUAAAGGGCUCGUAGGCGGCCAACUAAGUCAGACGUGAAAUCCCUCGGCUUAACCGGGGAACUGCGUCUGAUACUGGAUGGCUUGAGUUUGGGAGAGGGAUGCGGAAUUCCAGGUGUAGCGGUGAAAUGCGUAGAUAUCUGGAGGAACACCGGUGGCGAAGGCGGCAUCCUGGACCGAUAUUGACGCUGAUGCGCGAAAGCCAGGGGAGCAAACGGG
rnacentral:rRNA from 1 species